UUUUUGAAGGGUUUGAUCUUGGCUCAGAACGAACGCUGGCGGCGUGGAUUAGGCAUGCAAGUCGAACGAGGAUAUAUCCUUCGGGAUAUAAGCCGAGUGGCACAAGGGUGAGCAAUGCAUAGAUUACCUACCUUUAGGAUAAGGGCAACUUUGUGAAAACGGAGCUAAUACUUAAUAAUACAAAAGAAAAUAAUUUUCUUUUGUCAAAGGGAGGGUAGCAAUACCUUUCGCCUAGAGAGGGGUUUAUGUCCUAUCAGCUUGUUGGUGGGG
rnacentral:rRNA from 1 species